rnacentral:rRNA from 1 species
AGUGAACGCUGGCGGUAGGCCUAACACAUGCAAGUCGAACGGCAGCACAGUAAGAGCUUGCUCUUACGGGUGGCGAGUGGCGGACGGGUGAGGAAUACAUCGGAAUCUACUUUUUCGUGGGGAUAACGUAGGGAAACUUACGCUAAUACCGCAUACGACCUACGGGUGAAAGCAGGGGAUCUUCGGACCUUGCGCGAUUGAAUGAGCCGAUGUCGGGUUAGCUAGUUGGCGGGGUAAAGACCCACCAAGGCGACGAUCCGUAGCUGGUCUGAGAGGAUGAUCAGCCACACUGGAACUGAGACACGGUCCAGACUCCUACGGGAGGCAGCAGUGGGGAAUAUUGGACAAUGGGCGCAAGCCUGAUCCAGCCAUACCGCGUGGGUGAAGAAGGCCUUCGGGUUGUAAAGCCCUUUUGUUGGGAAAGAAAAGCAGCAGGUUAAUACCCCGCUGUUCUGACGGUACCCAAAGAAUAAGCACCGGCUAACUUCGUG